AUGAAAAUACGUAAUAAUUAACGUUUUAUAAUUUUUUUUCGAAAUUUCUGUCAUUUUUUUAUGCGGCACGUGCUGCCCAAAUGGACAACGGCGUCGCUUUGCUAAUGAAAAUAAUCUGUCAUCAAAGCCAAUGAUAAAGCCACCCCCAAUAUGUGCGAACAGGUGUGCCAGAGUACCCCUGCCCGCCGCGGUUCCAGCCACGUACAACAUCAAUUACUGUGUCAAGCUCGCCCCCUUGAUGGAUAUGUUAACGUUGACUUCAAAACUAUUAACUCAAUAUAAGAGUAAAUUGUCAGGGCUAGAGAAAGGGUUGCGUUUGCAGGAAAUUGCAUUUGUGCGGCCAAAUCAGAUAACAUUCAGCCACGAAAUGCUGACGUCCUGGGCCAGGAUAUAGCAUUAAAAGCGCAUCAGGUUGGCCGAAAGGCGCAUCAGCAGCGGAAACUGUUGCUGUAAUUACAUUGGACGAACAAUCAAGUAGCAAAAAAAAUAUCCAUCAAAUAUACGAAACUUGAGCAUGGUCUAUAUAACACUGAAUGGAAUUACUUUAACUUCGUGGAAGUCCCUUGACUUUUUUAAAUAUGAUUGUGUUCUUUGAAUUAAUAUUCUCAUAAGUUCCAUUAUACUUAAUCAAUAAUUUAUUAAACAAAAUAAAAAUAUAGCUAAUAUACUCUGUAAUACACUCACCUGAA